rnacentral:rRNA from 1 species
ACGCUUAUCUCUUUUUUUUUCCACAAUGGACUCAGCAGGGGAGGUGGGGCUACGGCAGGUAGAGAGAGUGAAGAGAGAGAGGGCAAGGGAAAAAAGCGGCGGCGGAAGCAGCCGGCCAAGGCCGCUUGCGACCGCCAGAGGCGGCAGCCACCGAUGGUUAGAGAAGGAGAGGAGCGCGAGAUAUACUAGGUGGCGUAGCUAAGUAGCUAGGGUAGGAGUACACCAACGGGCGUAGCCUAAAUGGGCAGAUCCCAAAGCCACGCCAGCUGAAGGAGUAGCGGCCGCUACGAGGCCGCGGAACCAGGCCAGCAGAAACAGAAGACAGCACGAGAGAGCACGACGAGACGAAGGAUUGUCGCGAGGGCACGGAGUCUACGUGCGGUCCCGCCGUGCCACUCGUCCACCCUCCUCUUCCGCCGCCGCUAAAGCUAGAUAACAAGACGCAACUGUGCCCUCCGCCAUCUCGCCAGACCUGCUCUAAGGACCACGGCCAAAGGAGUGGUACGACUCCGGUGGACGUAGCUCGUUACCAACUACGGUUCCGAAAUUCCUGGACAAGCCCAAGAGAGGCGAGGUGUUGAUGCCGAGGGUCUCGCCUCCCUCCCCGUCGUGUUUAGUCCCUCACCGAGUUUGGCUCCAGGAGCAGAGGAGAUGUCGAGCCUCGCCUCAAAACUCUAACCUCUCCAACGCUUGUCCGAGAUUCUUACCUGACGUCGAGACUGGGUUCGUCGCACUUCGAGGACUCAACGUAUAUCGUCUAGAGUUCUCUCUAUUACUCGCAAAUUCUUCCAACGUGUGCCUUUGGAAUAAGUUUAAGUGGUUGGUCCUCGUAUUUCCCUGUAGUUUAUUGAAUGCGUGCUGAUACUUUACGUGACUUUGAGGGACCUCUCGUUCGAGGCGACGUGAGAACAGGUCGUUCCGUGGCUACUUCCUAAGACAAAAACCCUCUGGACUAAUACCCCGGUUGUGCCAGUACGUUUAAAAAAACCGUCGUCUUCCAUUAGAUUAUAGUCCUUCCCCGUAGAGUGUUAUGACGUCGAUAAUUUUUCUUAGGUUUUGUCUCCGCAGAUCCUCUUGCUCGAAACAACGACAAGUAGAGGGUCCUACCAAUAACGGUUAAUGGUCUUGGUACAGUUCGUGUUAUUUGACUCCAGGAAAGUAUGAUGUACGGAAGAUAAAGUAAAGACGUAUAAACUCUCUCCACCCGUUGAGAGGGACUCGACGUACGAUAUACCGACCUUCGGUCUCGAGCCCGGGCUGCGGAGGCGAGCGGCAAAGGGUGCGGAGGCCGCGGGGACCACUAAAGGCACACCUAGUCCAGAAGUCCCACGGUUAUAAAAGCCUGCAUCAACCCGGUCGUUCGAGUCUAGACUUCCUCUCUUAACUGUACCCAUCGGCUGCUCUCCCGUUCUAAGCAUGCACCGCCACUUAAAUCUACCGCCGCCGUGGUCACGCCUGCUACGGUUAUCGUUCCUGUCGCUCGGCCGCAUCAGGCUUAUCACACCUCACUUAACUUCGGCCUAGGCGUUCGUAGGCUCACCUAAUUUCGCCCCCCACCUCCACUACGCUAGAUGAGCCCUUAUUCACUUACUAUAGUAAUACUACGGUUUAAUCAGGCGUUUAUGACGACGAAGAUCUUAGACUUACAUGGGCGAUACGUACAACGUCCGUUACUUGAUAAAAUGUUCUAUUUUAUAGUCCUUCCCCGUAGAGUAUUAUGACGUCGAUAAUUUUUCUUAGGUUUACUCGGGCGCCAUUCCUAAACCAAAUGUCACCAAUAUGAAAUAUAUAGUAGAGUUCCGUUGAAAUCGAGUAACCAAUUUAAACUAAGAGGCAAGUUAACCAAUUUAAACCAAGAGGGAAGUUCAAUCUACUCGGAGAGUAAUUAUAUUUAAGUCAGUAUCUUGUAAUAGUAAAUAUUCAAAAGAAAAAACAAUAUGUAACAAUUGACAUUCUAUAGGACUAAUGACAUGACAAAAUGAAACUACUCAGUGGUAGCAGCAGGUCUCUGUCCAGCCGUCCCCUCCGAUACUCCUUAACCCAUGUAGGUUUGAAGGGGACACUAUAGAAAUAAAAUAAGGAGUCAAAUUCCAGAGACAAUCACCUUAUAUAAAAGAACGUUUGACUUAACCAAAAGACCUUGUACAGAAGCAUAAAAACACAUACAGAACUCGUGAUAAGUAACCUAUAUGAAACAACGAAGGUCGGGUACCUAUUCUUAUAAAGUCAGCGACUUCUCUAACAACUUGUAUACUGUAACUACGUUUAGAGACCGGUGGAUGUUCACUUUGACGAACUUCUGGUUCAAGCUUAUACAUACUCGCGUCACUUCAAGCCGUACGUUCAGAUAAGCGUCAGAGCGUGGGAUUACAUUAGUCAGCUCAUCACUGCCCUUCCGCGGCGGCUGGUCCCACACCUCCUUCUACCCCAACUCGGCCCAACCACUUCCACAACACCGACCAGCAACCGGUUCGUCGGCGGAGAGGGAGCAGAAACUGUAGCACUUCUUACUACAACUUUACCUACGCACGACGUCCUCGUCGUCUCCGCAGCACACUCGGAACCCAAGAAGUAGUUAAGCAAGCACGCAAGGGAACCAGCGUACGCGCGGAGUCCUAGUCGAGCCUCAACUUAUGAAUUGACCAAGUCCUUUCGAAGUUUAUGUUAUCACCGUUUGUAGAGGUAACUACGAUGUUUCGUAGAGCUACUAAAACUUCGCUCAGAAGUACAAUUAAUGUAAUGAAAAACAUAGUACGGGAUAACUAGCUUUUCAAUGAAUCGGGAUUAGUAGGUACGAAUUAUUACUCCUAGCAAAACCCUAAAACAAAUCGAAAGGUUGUGAAGGUAUCAAAUAAUCAUGUCUCGAUCUAGAGAGUGACACGACUAGUGUGCAUUACUUCAGUAAAAUGAACCGAAAGAUCGUUGCCCAGUCGUUCACCCAGUACUACUUGGUUUAAUACAAGAGAGAGAACGUAUAUCUACGAGUGCUAAUAUGACUAGACUAGUUAACAUCCAAGGUAUCCUUGUGACUUGAACUAAAACAACGGAGGAGCAUCGUCCCGGUCCCUUCGUCACAGUUCACCUAGGACCUUCUCGUGACCACACCCUAGGCGACGACGGUCCAUACGAAAAGAAGGAAGGGCAGGAGAGCUAGGUGAAGGAGAGAAACAAAGACUUAAAACGUGAGUUUAACACUCCACUCCGAGUUUUUUAUGUCACCAAUGGCUGCCGCCGCUGCUGGUGCUUCUAACAGGGUCGUAGACCUUGUCACCUACGUAACUCGAGCUCUACUGCUAAUCGGUGAGGUAGGUACUAGUGACAAAAGGGGGAAGAAAAACACCUCUACUAAAGCGAUGAGAAAUAGUUACGACAUUAUUGGUUCCACGUACACACUGAGCAAGUUAGUUCACACAUUACUUGGGACGAAUUAUACGGAUACUACGUUAUGGUGAUG